rnacentral:rRNA from 1 species
UAUAAGACUGGGAUAACUUCGGGAAACCGGGGCUAAUGCCGGAUAACAUAUAGAACCGCAUGGUUCUAUAGUGAAAGAUGGUUUUGCUAUCACUUAUAGAUGGACCCGCGCCGUAUUAGCUAGUUGGUAAGGUAAUGGCUUACCAAGGCGACGAUACGUAGCCGACCUGAGAGGGUGAUCGGCCACACUGGAACUGAGACACGGUCCAGACUCCUACGGGAGGCAGCAGUAGGGAAUCUUCCGCAAUGGGCGAAAGCCUGACGGAGCAACGCCGCGUGAGUGAUGAAGGGUUUCGGCUCGUAAAACUCUGUUAUUAGGGAAGAACAUAUGUGUAAGUAACUGUGCACAUCUUGACGGUACCUAAUCAGAAAGCCACGGCUAACUACGUGCCAGCAGCCGCGGUAAUACGUAGGUGGCAAGCGUUAUCCGGAAUUAUUGGGCGUAAAGCGCGCGUAGGCGGUUUCUUAAGUCUGAUGUGAAAGCCCACGGCUCAACCGUGGAGGGUCAUUGGAAACUGGGAAACUUGAGUGCAGAAGAGGAAAGUGGAAUUCCAUGUGUAGCGGUGAAAUGCGCAGAGAUAUGGAGGAACACCAGUGGCGAAGGCGACUUUCUGGUCUGUAACUGACGCUGAUGUGCGAAAGCGUGGGGAUCAAACAGGAUUAGAUACCCUGGUAGUCCACGCCGUAAACGAUGAGUGCUAAGUGUUAGGGGGUUUCCGCCCCUUAGUGCUGCAGCUAACGCAUUAAGCACUCCGCCUGGGGAGUACGACCGCAAGGUUGAAACUCAGAG